ensembl:lncRNA
GCUGACUGAAGGGAAGAAAGUGGAUGAAAAGGAACAAAUGCAAAGAAAUUUUCCCCGCAUCUUCUCUCAGUGAGAUGUGGAAACAGAUGUCUGUAUGUUAAUACGUUAUAUGUUAUAAUAACUGCCCUCGGCUAAGAAGGAGCGCGUGUAAUUUAAUUGCUCCCUUCCUGCGUUGAAGUGCAAACUGUAGUUUCGAUUGGAGGAAUUGCCCUGCUAUAGACUAUUGGCUGUGCUAAUUAGAAGGCGGCCACAGCUGUUUUCACUGUAGUGUCUUAGACUGUGUAUUUAUCUGAUGUCUGUGCGCUGACGCGGAAGCAUCAGCGGAAGCGUUCAGGCCUCCUCGUGUGAAGACCAACGAGGGUAAAGACCCGCGACUUUACCUGCGCGACUUCACCGAGCAACGAAAUUGCCCAGGCACUUAAGUAUAAGUAUAUUUUUGCUCUUCCCUGUACACACUCUCCUUUUCUGUCCUCUCUUUCCCACCUCUAUCAUGUGUUUCCAAACCAUUCCGGUUGUCUCUCGACGACGCUCUACGGUCACACGCAGACGGCAACGAAAUGUUGCUAACCUGCAUCCUAUCUCUACAUCCUCUACUACACCUCUUUCUUUCUCUAUGGGUCUCUGGAAUUGUCAGUCAGCUGUCAACAAAGCAGACUUCAUUUCUUCUUUUUCUUUAAACUCCACACUUAGCAUCUUGGGCUUGACUGAGACCUGGAUUCGUCCAGAAGACUCAGCAACCCCAGCUGCUCUUUCGAACAAUUUCUCUUUCUCUCAUACCCCCCGUCAGGUUGGCCGGGGUGGGGGCACUGGUCUGCUCAUUUCUAACAAUUGGAAAUACUCAACCCACUCUCCCCUAUGCAAUUACAACUCAUUUGAAUCUCAUGUGAUCACUAUAACAGCUCCCGUAAAACUCCAGGUUGUGGUAAUUUACCGCCCUCCUGGGCAAAUUCUAUCCACCUUCCUAGAAGAGCUGGAUGGGCUGCUGUCCUCAUUCCCGGAGGAUGGCAGUCCACUUUUAGUCUUUGGCGACUUCAACAUUCAUCUGGACAAGCCUUAUGCUACAGACUUCCAUUCACUCCUUGCUUCAUUUGAUCUCAAACGACGCUCCCCUUCCCCCUCCCAUCUUUCCUCCGUUGUAUCCUCCUCUCUUCCCUCACCUACCCAUUUCUCAUCUCUGGAUGUGAAUGCAGCAACUGACACUUUAUGCUCUACUUUAACCUCUUGUCUAGAUGAUAUUUGUCCUCUCUCCUCCAGGCCAGCACGGGCUGCCCCCUCGAACUCCUGGUUAUCCGAUGUUCUUCGUGAACAUCGGACCAAACUCAGGGCAGCUGAGAGGAAAUGGUGCAAAUCAAAAGAUCCGUCAGACCUCAGUAUGUAUCAGUCUUUGCUUUCAUCUUUCUCUGCUGAAGUCCAUACUGCCAAAUCUUCAUACUUCCACAACAAGAUCAACAGCGCUCCAGACACACGUAAUCUCUUCAAAACUUUCCAUUCUCUCCUCUGUCCCCCUCCACCACCUCCUACCACUUCUAUAACAGCUGAUGAUUUUGCCACAUUCUUCACAGACAAAACCAGAACAAUCAGUAGCCAAUUCUCAGCCCCACACACACAGGACUUCAAACCAACCCCACCCACUCCAAAAACUCCCAUCUUCUCCUUCUGUCCCCUCACUGAGACAGAGGUAUCAAAACUUCUGCUCUCCAGCCAUCCUACAACAUGCCCUCUAGACCCAAUCCCCUCACACCUCCUCCAAGCAAUCUCUCCUUCACUCUUACCAGCACUCACACACAUCAUCAAUACAUCUCUCCUCCCAGGCACCUUCCCCACUGCAUUCAAGCAGGCUCGGAUAACCCCACUGCUCAAAAAACCUACAUUAAACACUUCACUUACAGAUAGCUACAGACCUGUCUCUCUCCUUCCAUUCAUAGCGAAAACCCUCGAAAGAGUUGUUUUCAACCAGAUAUCAUUGUUUCUUUCACAGAACAACAAACUGGAUCCUAACCAGUCAGGUUUCAGGAGUGGCCAUUCAACUGAGACUGCGCUACUGUCAGUCACAGAAGCCUUGCGGAUUGCAAAAGCUGAUUCCAAAUCAUCAGUCCUUAUUCUGCUGGAUCUUUCUGCUGCUUUUGACACUGUCAAUCAUCAGAUCCUCCUGUCUGCCCUCUCUUCAAUGGGCAUUACAGGGAUUCCACUUCGCUGGUUUGAA